GCACUAGUAGUCUAAGGGUAAGAUCUAACAUUCCCAAUGUUAGGACCCGGGUUCGAGUCCCGGCUGGUGCA
rfam:Trichophyton interdigitale MR816 cont1.91, whole genome shotgun sequence.